AGCGGUGGCAACCUGUUAGGGUCUGCUUUUGUCCUCUGGGAGCUUUCCUUGUUUGGUUUUCGUAGUAAAUCUUACUGCUGCUCAGUGUUUGUGUCUGUGCUGCGUUUGUGAGCUGCAACGCUCACGGUAAAGGUCUACAGCUUCACUCCCGAAGCCAGCGAGACUGUAAAUCCACUGGGAGGGGCAAAGAACUCUGGACGUGCUGCAUUUUUAGGAGCUGUGACACUCACCGCGGAGGUUUGCAGUUUCACUCCUGAAAUCAGUGUAGACCACGAACGCACCAGAAGGAACAAACUCCAGACACACCGUUUUUAGGUAACCGUAACAUGUACCGCGAGGGUCUGCGGCUUCAUUCUUGAAGACGAGACUAAGAACCCACCAACUUCUGGACACAAAACCACCCCAAAAAGUGAGUUUCUAAAGGAGAAGCUAAAAAUAAAGACCACGAAAGUGUUGCCCAUGGUGAUAGCUCCAGACGUCCGGAGACGGUGUUCAGCGCUGCUGCAGGAGAGACUUUAUCUUCUAUUCCGUUGGUCUGCCUAUCUAGAAAGCAAAAUUUCAAAUACUGAGACCGAUAGAUGAAGAUGCUUUCGCUUCUUCCCUGUUUCAUCCAGUUGGGGACUAAGUGUCCUUCGGUUUGGACUGUGCAGCUCGGGUCACCUUCUCUGUGGAACAGCAAGUGAAGAAAGAGGCGCAGAGCCCUGUGUUCCAAACCCUGGAGACAAUUGAGAAAGUGGGAACCCAUUAUUCCCCAAGCCCAGCCAGCAAACCUCACCGAUGAAACAGAUAAGCACUUCCUGCAGGUGGGGCCGACACUGGCCAGGACACAGCCCUCUCUCUCACAGCAGUGUUCCAGGUUGUUUGUGCACAAAAUUUCACAAAGGUCAGAGCUCGUCUCUCCAAACCGAUGAGCUUUGCGGUUAACCUGAAUUCACUGAACUGGGAUUUAUUAUUAUUAUUCUAUUUUACCUCUAACAGAAGUUUAAGGUUCGUGUAAGUUUCGUUCCUCUCUGAUUGUAGGGGAGACGCCCAGAGCGCCAUUUGGAGGAGAGAACCUGGCAUCCUUUCCUUACCUUGAUUUCAGGUACCCAGCUCCUAGCAAAUGUGUCUUCCUCCCAGGGUUCUUUGGGGUAAAGAAUUUGGUGAGAAGGAGCUGAAUGUUAUGGCUGCGUUUCUCAGCCACUUGCUCGGAGCCAAGCAUCCUCUCACCCUUUCUUUCAACUGGUAGCCAGAAAAUACGGGUUGAGCAUCAGGGAUUCUCAACCGUGUCAAGCUCCAGCCCUGCCUGUUGUGACAGACGUUUCCUGAUGCCUGUUGCUCUCUGGAAUGAAGGUCAUGGGCAGUAUUACCCACACAGCCAUUCAAAAUCAGUCGGCUUCGUGACCUGUUGUGAAAGGAUGGCGAUUGCCGUGCCAGCACGUGACAUGGACUCGGAUGCCUGCGCACACAGGUGCACCUUCCAGAAGGUGAGGUCAGCCCGAGCGCCCACCGCCAUGUGAGUGCGCUGCUGCAGUGACCAGUUGCUGGAAUGUUCUGAACAGAGCCCAGUGCCACCCACUUUGAUGUGCGCUAUUGUUAGAUCUCCGGAAAAAUCAGAGUGCAUUAAAUUCCUGCAAAAAUUC
rnacentral:lncRNA from 1 species